AUGAUAUUCUCCAUAAGUAACGUGAUCCACCCGCCCAAGGAUGGCACGCUAGCUGUCACUCCCACCAUACCAAUCAGGAAAAGGAACAACAUCCAUCGUCCAGCAGGUGGUGACGGUGGUGAGGAUCAGGACGUUCUCCUGGCGCGAGAAGGGCAACGUGGUGAACCCCGCGGCCGCUGGAGGUUGAUGAGCCACUUGAGGAAGAAGAAGCUGAGGACGUUGAUGGGCAGGUUGAGCGCCUGUAUGAUGCCGGCCUUCAUCAUGAUGCGCAGGCCGACGAAGCCGAACAUGGUGCCGAGGACCACCGAGAUGGCCAUGGACCGCAGCGUCACCUGGCCCCAUGUCCCCGGCACCGGCGGCUGGCUCUCGAAGACCCGCUCCACCGACGACGUCACGCUCACAUCUCCGAUCGUCGCGUCCAUGGGCGAGGGGCCGGAGCUCUGGCGAGUUCGGUUGGGGGCUCUGGGUGUGGACGGAGGAGUGGUGGUGUGA
rnacentral:rRNA from 1 species